AUUGAACGCUGGCGGCAGGCCUAACACAUGCAAGUCGAGCGUGCGGCGGACGGGUGAGUAAUGUAUGGGGACUGCCCGAUAGAGGGCGAUAACUACUGGAAACGGUAGCUAAUACCGCAUACUAUCGGAUAACCCAUAUGGGAGUAGCUAGUUGGGGGGGUAAUGGCUCACCAAGGCGACGAGCCCUAGCUGGUCUGAGAGGAGGAUCGGCCACAAUGGGACUGAGACACGGCCCAGACUCCGACGGAGGCAGCAGUGGGGAAUAUUGCACAAUGGGCGAAAGCCUGAUGCAGCCAUGCCGCGUGUAUGAAGAAGGCCCUAGGGUUGUAAAGUACUUUCAGUCGGGAGGCGGUACCGACAGAAGAAGCACCGGCUAACUCCGUGCCAGCAGCCGCGGUAAUAC
rnacentral:rRNA from 1 species